AGUGCAGUAAGGUCAAGUCCUAGGUUUGUGUUUGGAGUCCAGAGGAGGCCAAAGUCUACCACGCAGCCACGGAUCCACAAGUCAACUACCCCCCAGGUCCAAGUCAAAGCCUGGUGGUACAUAAAAAAAUGUGGGGUUCAUCUGGCCUGGCUGUCAUUUUGUAAGUGUUCGGCCGUCUUGACAGAUGAUAGAAGACAGCGCAGGGUGACCUUGAGAUAUGUAAACCCAGAGUAAGUGUUAGACUGACACAGAAGUGCAUACAAUACAUUUGGAAAAACCUUGUUCUUGAUUCCAAUGUUUAUUUUGACUGAGCUCUAAAGAUCCUGUGUGCAGAUGGGAGAAACUUCCAGAAGAUCCAAAAUCCAUCAUUGCAGCCUCCACAAUCUGGGAUCAGAAAGAAACAUCA